rnacentral:pre_miRNA from 1 species
UUACUACUCCCUCCGUCCCAAAAUUCUUGUCUUAGAUUUGUCUAAAUACAGAUGUAUCAAGUCACGUUUUAGUAUUAGAUACAUCCAUAUCUAGACAAAUCUAAGACAAGAAUUUUGGGACGGAGGGAGUACUUG